AGGAUCUGGAUAAAGCCGGACACCAGGAGAUCUUGCUCAUUCCCAGCCCAGGGGAGCCACCAAGAAGAGGAAGAAUGGAGACACCACCUAAAGCCAAAAAGGGGAUGUUCGGGCUGAAGCUGAAGAAGAAGAAGAAGAAAGCAGAGAAGGGGUUAAUCCUAGCCAACAAGGGGGCCCAAGGUGAGGCGUUUCGGGGGUGGGGAGGGACCACUACCCUGGGGCCUACUGGUAUCACAGACUUGAUGGCUCC
rnacentral:lncRNA from 1 species